AGCGAACGUUAGCGGCAGGCUUAACACAUGCAAGUCGAGCGAGAAAGGGGCUUCGGCCCUGAGUAAAGCGGCGGACGGGUGCGUAACACGUGGAUAAUCUGCCCUUCAGUGGGGAAUAACGUUCCGAAAGGAACGCUAAUGCCGCAUGUCACAGCAAUGUCUCUGGACAAAGUUGGAAAAGGGGACGCCCGCAAGGGGUUCUCGCUGGAGGAUGAGUCCGCGGCCCAUCAGCUUGUUGGCGGGGUAAUGGCCCACCAAGGCGAAGACGGGUAGCUGGUCUGAGAGGAUGACCAGCCACACUGGGACUGAGACACGGCCCAGACUCCUACGGGAGGCAGCAGUGGGGAAUAUUGGACAAUGGGCGAAAGCCUGAUCCAGCCAUGCCGCGUGAGUGAUGAAGGCCUUAGGGUUGUAAAGCUCUUUCAGCAGGGAAGAUAAUGACGGUACCUGCAGAAGAAGCUCCGGCUAACUCCGUGCCAGCAGCCGCGGU
rnacentral:rRNA from 1 species